CGCCCAGGACGAAGCUGCCUUUGUCCCCGGAGGAGGGACUAAAGCAGAGGCAGUCGCGGCGAGUACGAACGGAAACGAUAAGCCUCCCCACUGCUCCGACUUUCCUUUCCCACCGUCCCUCAGGAAAUGCCGCGGAGGCUAAGGAGACCGGAUACCCAUCUGGAGAUACCCAGGAUUGAACUUGGGGCCUUCUGCCUGGAGGCCAUGCUUUGUCAUUUAAGCUAUGAUCUUUCCCUACAGCUACAUUCUCCAUCAAUGCAGUUCCCAUGAAUAAGAGGCUUGUAAUAUUUUUUGCUCAGAACUGGGUCUCUUGCAAUGUUAAUUUAAAAAAUGGGCAUUGGUGGGUUAUUGCUUCCUGUCUAAACAUGACUCGGAGGUAUGGAAGUUCCUGAUUAAUGACAAGUUAAUUGAAUCUUGAAUAUCAACUUCUGUUUGGGGAGUAUGAGUUCAAAUUGCUUUCCAUUUCUUAUUUUCAUUUUUAUAUGCAGUAUGUAAUUCCAAAGUAGAUAGCCUAUUGGGACCCUCACCAUAAUUAUCUCUGGCAUAUCUUGACUGUGCUGCCAACUGUUUAUGUUCCCCAAGUUGAUAACUGACUUCAAACACUCAUUCAGAACUA